UACGUAGGGUGCAGGCGUUAAUCGGAAUUACUGGGCGUAAAGCGUGCGCAGGCGGUUUCUUAAGUCAGAUGUGAAAGCCCCGGGCUUAACCUGGGAACUGCGUUUGAAACUGGGAGACUUGAGUGUGGCAGAGGGGGGUGGAAUUCCACGGUGGUAGCAGUGAAAUGCGUAGAGUAUGUGGAGGAACACCGAUGGCGAAGGCAGCCCCCCUGGGCUAAGAUUGACGCUCGAUGCACGAAAGCGUGGGGAGCAAACAGG
rnacentral:rRNA from 1 species